rnacentral:rRNA from 1 species
AGCGGUAAAAGCUCAAAUUUGAAAUCUGGUACUUUCAGUGCCCGAGUUGUAAUUUGUAGAAUUUGUCUUUGAUUAGGUCCUUGUCUAUGUUCCUUGGAACAGGACGUCAUAGAGGGUGAGAAUCCCGUUUGGCGAGGAUACCUUUUCUCUGUAAGACUUUUUCGAAGAGUCGAGUUGUUUGGGAAUGCAGCUCAAAGUGGGUGGUAAAUUCCAUCUAAAGCUAAAUAUUGGCGAGAGACCGAUAGCGAACAAGUACAGUGAUGGAAAGAUGAAAAGAACUUUGAAAAGAGAGUGAAAAAGUACGUGAAAUUGUUGAAAGGGAAGGGCAUUUGAUCAGACAUGGUGUUUUUUGCAUGCACUCGCCUCUCGUGGGCUUGGGCCUCUCAAAAAUUUCACUGGGCCAACAUCAAUUCUGGCAGCAGGAUAAAUCAUUAAGAAUGUAGCUACUUCGGUAGUGUUAUAGCUUUUUGGAAUACUGUUAGCCGGGAUUGAGGACUGCGCUUCGGCAAGGAUGUUGGCAUAAUGGUUAAAUGCCGCCCGUCUU